GCAUGGUUUGUUUUAGAGAUGUCUUAAGGUUGUUUAAUGUUUAAUAAGUGCAGCAAAAUAGUACUUGUGAAAAUAGGUGAAAAAGAAGCAUGAAAAUCUUGGGUGGAGAUACAAUAUGAAGCUACCACAGAAACUUCCUUGUACAAGAUGCGCCACAAAGUUGGUUCUAAGCCUUCUGAAAUUUAAUGUAAAAAGAAGAAAUUGAUCAGGAACUGCAUUUCCAACUCUGGGACACAAUGCUGGCUUGAACAAAAUUUGAUGCUGUUAGUAAGGAAUAAAAGAUCAUUGAGCAGAAAACUAGAAGUAUCUACCACUUUCUACUCCUUUGGCUUUGUAACAUUCACGUACACCCUUUCUCCUAUAAAUUGAAUACCUUCCCAGGCCGUUCCCAAGUUAAAUCAGUCAUGCAUUGUGUGAUAUGUCUUGAGAAAUACAGUUCCCUCUAAAAUUGAGUAAGACUUUUAGUCUUUUCCAGUUAAUUUCUGUUUGUGAACAACCACUGCCUAAGGUCUUACAAGAUACAGUGUUAAGGCUUGAGAAAUAUUGGUUCCUAGUGACAGGUUUUUAUUUUCCAUACAUCCUUUCCUUUAUUUUCCUUUCCUCCUUUCCUCUUCUCUCCUCUUCUCUCCUCUCCUUUCCUCUUUUCUCCUUCCCUUUUUUUCUUUCUUUCUUUUAAAGAUUUUAUAAAUUUGACUGAGAGAGACUAAAAGAACACAAGCAGGGAGAAUGGCAGAGGGAGUCUUCUUCUCCUUUUCACUUAAUUGCUAUUAACAAUAUGAAAUAAUAAGUUUGGAGGUAAAGAAACACCUUUUAUAUCUCUUUUUACCAGCAGGUUUACCUCCUUUGUCCAGCAGAGGACAUGAAACAAGAACUGGGAGCCCAAUACCAGCCUCUGGUAAGGCUGCUGCUUCAGCUCUGGUAGAAAAGUAGUAUUUGUUCCUCUUACAGUGGGAAGACUCCCAUUAUGGGCUUCACAGACAACUUAGAUUGCAGUCUGCAUGCAGAGACCUGCUCUCUUAGCUGUAAGACUAAUCAACUCUCAUCUGAAUUCAUUUUUCUCAGGGAAGAGAGUACAAGGGUGGCAGUACAAACGAACGCAUGAAGCAGUACUCCGAAGAGUAGCCUGAAGGUUGACAGACACUGGAGUGCUUGUGAUGGGACGCAUCUCCUUGGAAGAGGAAAGAGCUUUGUAGCAGUCCGCUGUGUCGUGAACGGUGACAGGUCCUGCCUCCAGGCUUCUACAGGGCCCUCCCGGACCUGUGAUUCCUGGGUCUGUGUGUUGUAGCCUUCAGAGGCUGAGCGCGAGCCAGACGCAGCAAACCCCGGCCCUCCCGGGGCUCCCCCCGCCAAGGGAGGCCGUGCCAGCGGCCGCGCAGCAGCAGCCCCUGCAACUGCAGACCUCACUCAGAGGUGAGCCGGGGCAGCGAGGACCCGCGGCCCCCGGCCGUUAGGUCUACAGAUCACCCAGACUCCUGGGAGCCCAGGUGU
rnacentral:lncRNA from 12 species